rnacentral:ncRNA from 2 species
AUCUUAUCAAGAGAGGUAGAGGGACUGGCCCGAUGACGCCUCAGCAACCGUCAAUUUUUAUUGAAAUGGUGCUAAUUCCAGCAGGUAUUUUUUUGCCUGAAAGAUAAGAA